rnacentral:rRNA from 1 species
UGGGGAAUUUUGGACAAUGGGCGAAAGCCUGAUCCAGCAAUGCCGCGUGUGUGAAGAAGGCCUUCGGGUUGUAAAGCACUUUUGUCCGGAAAGAAAUCCUUGGCUCUAAUACAGUCGGGGGAUGACGGUACCGGAAGAAUAAGCACCGGCUAACUACGUGCCAGCAGCCGCGGUAAUACGUAGGGUGCAAGCGUUAAUCGGAAUUACUGGGCGUAAAGCGUGCGCAGGCGGUUUGCUAAGACCGAUGUGAAAUCCCCGGGCUCAACCUGGGAACUGCAUUGGUGACUGGCAGGCUAGAGUAUGGCAGAGGGGGGUAGAAUUCCACGUGUAGCAGUGAAAUGCGUAGAGAUGUGGAGGAAUACCGAUGGCGAAGGCAGCCCCCUGGGCCAAUACUGACGCUCAUGCACGAAAAGCGUGGGGAGCAAACAGGAUUAGAUACCCUGGUAGUCCACGCCCUAAAACGAUGUCAACUAGUUGUUGGGGGAUUCAUUUCCUUAGUAACGUAGCUAACGCGUGAAGUUGACCGCCUGGGGGAGUACGGUCGCAAGAUUAAAACUUAAAGGAAUUGACGGGGUCAUAGCUGUUUCCU